rnacentral:tRNA from 1 species
GGAAGGGUCACGUUCCCGGUGGGGCGCACGGACUUCAAAUCCGCUGAGGGGGCGCUUGCGUUCCCUGGGGUUCGACUCCCACCUCUUCC